CCUACGGGUGGCAGCAGUGAGGAAUAUUGGUCAAUGGGCGGAAGCCUGAACCAGCCAAGUAGCGUGCGGGAUGAAGGCCCUACGGGUCGUAAACCGCUUUUGCACGGGGAUAACACCCUCCACUUGUGGAGGUCUGCAGGUACCGUGCGCAUAAGGGCCGGCUAAUUCCGUGCCAGCAGCCGCGGUAAUACGGAAGGCCCGAGCGUUGUCCGGAUUCAUUGGGCUUAAAGGGAGCGUAGGCGGACUGUUAAGUCAGCGGGAAAAGCCCGGGGCUCAACCCCGGUGAGCCGUUGAAACUGGCUGUCUUGAGAUGUCUAGAGGGAUGCGGAAGGCGCAGCGGAGCGGUGAAAUGCUUAGAUAUGGCGCAGAACUCCGAUUGCGAAGGCAGCAUACCGGCGGCGAUCUGACGCUGAGGCACGAAAGCGUGGGUAUCGAACAGGAUUAGAUACCCCAGUAGUC
rnacentral:rRNA from 1 species